ACAGCAUCAGUGUCUCAUCUUUAAUACCAACUUUCUAACCCUUUUACAUCACUUGAACAGAAUUCCAUGGUGACCAUGAAACUACUAUUCCUAGUGAUGUGCCUGAUUGGACUUUGUUCUUCCAUUCUUGUGUCUGAGGAACAUGAUCGAGAGGAGCGCUCAGCUAGUGAUGAGAUGUUCAGGGGUAAUGGGCGUGGUUUGGGAGGGUUUUACCACUAUCAGCCACCACAGUACCCAUCAUACUUCCCUUAUGCCCAGACUC